rnacentral:rRNA from 1 species
CCCCACUAUGCCUAACCGUAAACUUUUAUUUACACCUAAUCGCCAGGGAACUACGAGCCAAGCUUAAAACCCAAAGGACUUGACGGUACCCCAUAUCCCCCUAGAGGAGCCUGUCCUAUAAUCGAUAAUCCACGUUUAACCUCACCAUUUUUUGUUAAUCAGCCUGUAUACCUCCGUCGCCAGCUUACCACGUGAGCGAUUGUUAGUGAGCCUAAUGUUUUUCACCAAUACGUCAGGUCAAGGUGCAGCAAAUGAAAUGGGAAGAGAUGGGCUACACUUUCUAUUAUAGAAGAAACGAAAAACUAUUUAUGAAAAUCUAGUUAGAAGGCGGAUUUAGAAGUAAAAAGAAAUCAGCAUGUUCAUUUUAACCUGGCAUUGGGGUGUGU